UAGAGACUGGGACGUGACUGAGGAACCAGACGCUGCACAUAAGGAAGCCAAUACUUUCCUCAAGCAAGAUGAGCAAGAAAGCCACAGGCUAAAGGUUCUGCAGCUGCUGACACUCCCUGCUGGGUCAGGGGUUAGAAGACAUGUGGUGUUAGUAACCUUUUGUGGAAAUGUGGAGAUGAGCAGCAGAAGAGGAUCCAUUUCAAGUUACCUGUCCCUAUCAUUGGUUGCCAUGGCUGCAGGUGGAUGUGACAGAAGCUACAGAUCUUUGAGUAAGCAGGAAAGAGAAAUAAGAAGGGACAUGGACAGAGUAUUGCCUUGAGAGAUACAACACCAGCAACUACCUCCUUUGUUCAGCUAGAUACUCUCAUCCCUAAAAGUUCAGCUGCUUCCAAAACAAGGAUCCCAAAUAAGCAACCUAUGUGGCUCUUGAUUCCAGGAUGCCUUCCAAGAACAGAAUCCAGACAUGUGAGCCACUGGCCAGACACAACAUCUGGC